rnacentral:rRNA from 1 species
UACGUAGGGGGCAAGCGUUGUCCGGAAUCAUUGGGCGUAAAGCGCGUGUAGGCGGCUGAGUAAGUCUGCUCUGAAAGCCCGGGGCUCAACCCCGGGAGGCGGGUGGAUACUGCUCAGCUCGAGUCCGGAAGAGGAGUGUGGAAUUCCUGGUGUAGCGGUGAAAUGCGCAGAUAUCAGGAGGAACACCAAUAGCGAAGGCAGCUCGCUGGGACGUUACUGACACUGAGGCGCGAAAGCGUGGGGAGCGAACAGG